CCCCGACCCUCGCUCCGUCACUUGAGGACUCUUUGCUUCGGCGCUUGCUCGCACUCUGCUGUAUUUUGAGAAAAUGAUCGUACUUUAACGCAUCCAUGUCUAACUCUUAUACUUUCUACAAUCCGUUGUCAAUUGAACUGUUAGUGGCUGCAUUGCUAAGAUUAUUCUCUUGCUGGAGGUUUUCUAGGGAAAAUAUUCAUUUAUUUGGUGUUAUCUCUGUUAGGAAGUGCUUUUUUUUUUUUUUUGUUUCUACUUCUUUAUGGGAUGCUAGAUACGAUUCCAGUGUACGCGUCAACCGAGUUCAGAAAGAUGUUCAAUGUUGCCUCUGCGCUUCUUUUGCAGGCAUGCUAUUGUGAAGUACUUAGCAUUGUAGGCGUGCCCAUAAACCGUUAAUGUUGGAUGCUGAUCAAAAUAUCAAAGAGCUCUGUUUUUGGGCACACAUUCACUGUUUAAUUAAAACGCAAUAGAAAGCCCUUCUUCCCUGCUAAUCAACUUUUCAAGCUUCGGAUAGCUUUUGGGAUGGCUUUUUGUAGUUGGAGGAGUACCCACACUCGGACCUCAAACCGGAAUGCGAGGAAUGUGGGAGAAGAUGGAGAGCUCUCAUGGUUCAAUGCGGGGGUGAGGGUGGUCAUUUUGGUCGUUGGGAUGGGUCAUUG